rnacentral:rRNA from 1 species
GAUCAUGGCUCGUGAUGAACGCUGGCGGCGUGCUUAACACAUUCAAGUCGAGCGAAGCAAUUUAAGUGAAGUUUUCGGAUGGAUCUUAGAUUGACUGAGCGGCGGACGGGUGAAGGUAACGCGUGGAUAACCUGCCUCACACAGGGGGAUAACAGUUAGAAAUGACUGCUAAUACCGCAUAAGCGCACAGUACCGCAUGGUAUAGUGUGAAAAACUCCGGUGGUGUGAGAUGG